GAUGAAGAACGUAGUGAAAUGCGAUAAGUAAUGUGAAUUGCAGAAUUCAGUGAAUCAUCGAAUCUUUGAACGCACAUUGCGCCCGGUAGUAAUCUGCCGGGCAUGCCUGUCCGAGCGUCAUUUCAACCCUCGAACCACUAUUCGCGUAGCUGGAUCGGUGUUGGGGCACUACGGUGGAAUACCCGUAGGCCCCGAAAUGAAGUGGCGGUCCCGCCGCGGCGCCCCCAUGCGUAGUAACAUCUCGUCUCGCAUCGGGUCCCGGCGGAGGCCUGCCGUCAAGCCUAUUUUCUAAUUACAGAUGGUUUGACCUCGGAUCAGGUAGGGUUACCCGCUGAACUUAAGCAUAUCAAUAAGCGGAGGA
rnacentral:misc_RNA from 1 species